rfam:Omnitrophica WOR_2 bacterium RIFCSPHIGHO2_02_FTLL_52_10 rifcsphigho2_02_scaffold_6545, whole genome shotgun sequence.
GCCCCCAUCGUCUAGCCUGGUCCAGGACACAUGCUUCUCAGGCAUGGAACACCGGUUCAAAUCCGGUUGGGGGUA